rnacentral:misc_RNA from 1 species
UCCUCGUUUAGACGAGGCAGUCUGUCCAGAGUGCUUCGAACUCUCGUUCGAGUGGCAACAGGACACAAGGGUUGCGCUCGUUGCGGGACUUAACCCAACAUCUCACGACACGAGCUGACGACAGCCAUGCAGCACCUGUGUAGGCUGGUAUUGCUACCUCGUUGCCCUUUCAGGCUCCUACUACCUACAUGUCAAGGCCAGGUAAGGUUCUUCGCGUUGCAUCGAAUUAAGCCACAUACUCCACCGCUUGUGCAGGCCCCCGUCAAUUUCUUUGAGUUUUAAUCUUGCGACCGUACUUCCCAGGCGGCACAUUUAACGCGUUUGCUACGCCACGAAAGGGGUCGAAUCCUCUCACAGCAAAUGUGCACCGUUUACGGCUAGGACUAC